GCCACUGAAGUCAACCCAAUGUUUCGAGGCUACAAUCGGCUCCAACUACAUGCUUGUCAGGUAGAACCUACUUGGAGCUGCUGCCCUCGCAUGACGAGUCUUGACAAUCCUGUGGC
rnacentral:snoRNA from 1 species